UACGUAGGGGGCAAGCGUUGUCCGGAAUCACUGGGCGUAAAGGGCGUGUAGGCGGUCAAGUAAGUGGAAUGUGAAAGCCCCCGGCUUACCCGGGGAUCUGCAUCCCAAACUGCUUGGCUUGAGUACGGGAGAGGAUAGGGGAAUUCCUGGUGUAGCGGUGAAAUGCGUAGAUAUCAGGAGGAACACCGGUGGCGAAGGCGCCUAUCUGGCCCGAUACUGACGCUGAGGCGCGAAAGCUAGGGGAGCAAACGGG
rnacentral:rRNA from 1 species